rnacentral:pre_miRNA from 1 species
AGUUGGUUGACACUGGGCCAAAUUGGCCUAGCCUCACUCCAUUUGGUCCCCUUCAACCAACUGU